AUUGAACGCUGGCGGCAUGCCUUACACAUGCAAGUCGAACGGCAGCACGGGGGCAACCCUGGUGGCGAGUGGCGAACGGGUGAGUAAUGCAUCGGAACGUGCCCAGUAGUGGGGGAUAACUAGUCGAAAGAUUAGCUAAUACCGCAUACGACCUAUGGGUGAAAGCGGGGGAUUCGCAAGAACCUCGCGCUAUCGGAGCGGCCGAUGUCUGAUUAGCUAGUUGGCGGGGAAAAGCCCACCAAGGCGACGAUCAGUAGCUGGUCUGAGAGGACGACCAGCCACACUGGGACUGAGACACGGCCCAGACUCCUACGGGAGGCAGCAGUGGGGAAUUUUGGACAAUGGGCGCAAGCCUGAUCCAGCCAUGCCGCGUGCGGGAAGAAGG
rnacentral:rRNA from 1 species